rnacentral:rRNA from 1 species
UACGUAGGGUGCGAGCGUUGUCCGGAAUCAUUGGGCGUAAAGAGCGUGUAGGCGGCUUGCUAAGUCUUGCGUGAAAUCUCGGGGCUCAACCCCGAGCGGUCGUGGGAAACUGGCAGGCUAGAGUGCGGGAGAGGAGAAUGGAAUUCCUGGUGUAGCGGUGAAAUGCGCAGAUAUCAGGAGGAACACCGAUGGCGAAGGCAGCUCGCUGGGACGGUACUGACGCUGAGGCGCGAAAGCGUGGGGAGCGAACAGG